rnacentral:misc_RNA from 1 species
GGGCUCGGCCUCCACCAUAACUCCACCAACACAACCCAAAGACAAAUUUAAUAAGAUGCUUAUUCUUGGAAUAGCAGUGGGAUGUUUCUUUUUGGUAUAGAUCCGGGGAUUUGCAGGGUAAGCAGUGCAGGGUAUCUGGAAAUUUCCAGGGUUUCUCAAAACGAGACAGUCGUAGUCAUCUUACCACGACAGAGGAAAUUCAGGUGUACAUAGAACAGCAUCCUGAUUACGAUAUAGAAAUUUGUCCAGACUAUGAUUGACUAAUUACGUCUUAACGCCAUUGGAUUGAUUAUGCCUAAUGUAAUAUUGUAUUUUCAAGAACUAUAAUUUAUUAUACAUCUAUGCAUGUUUUUUCGAUUGUUCUCAAAAUACAUGUCAUCAUUUGAAAGCAUUAAAUGUAGGGCCUUAUUUUUUUUUUUGUUAUGCUACAAGUGAUAUGUUAAAUGUGUAGUGUAUGUUUUGUGCUUGUAAUAAAAAUAUUGCGGAUACAAUCUG